rnacentral:tRNA from 1 species
GGGGUUGUGGCUCAGUGGUAGAGUGUUCGCCUUGCAUAUGCGAGACCCUGAGUGAUUCGUUCCUCAGCACCACA